UACGUAGGGGGCAAGCGUUGUCCGGAUUUAUUGGGCGUAAAGAGCGUGUAGGCGGCUUUGCAAGUCCGUUGUGAAAACUCGAGGCUCAACCUCGAGACGCCGGUGGAAACUGCAAAGCUAGAGUCCGGAAGAGGAGAGUGGAAUUCCUGGUGUAGCGGUGAAAUGCGCAGAUAUCAGGAAGAACACCCGUGGCGAGGGCGGCUCUUUGGGACGGUACUGACGCUGAGACGCGAAAGCGUGGGGAGCGAACAGG
rnacentral:rRNA from 1 species